CUCUACAUGUCUCUGAUCCAUUUAGGUCUAUUCAGUACACUUCACACCGGGAGCUAGAAAGAUUUAUUUCUGAAAGUAUGCAUGGAAAUGGAUCAUCGAAUUCAAGAGUCUGUGAUGGAGUUUGCCAGAUUAAGUCAUCUCUUCUGGAGGGAAUUCUAGUGGUAAUUUGAGUCUAGCUUCUAUUGAGAACAUGGGGCCGAAGAUUCAUGAUAUGGAGCUAUCAUCUUAUUAUUCUUAUAUCUGUUUAUUAAUUGCUAUUAUUAUCAAUUGGC
rnacentral:lncRNA from 1 species